ACAUGUGUAGCUCAGGUGGAAAGAGCAUGAGAUUAGAGUCUCAAGGUUCCAGGUUCAAGCUCUGGUGUAUGCU